UGGUCAGGACGUUUAUUGGGCCUAAAGCAUCCGUAGCCGGCUAUGCAAGUCUCCGGUUAAAUCCACCUGCUCAACAGGUGGGCUGCUGGAGAUACUACAAAGCUAGGGAGCGGGAGAGGCAGACGGUAUUCGGGGGGUAGGGGUAAAAUCCUCUGAUCCUCCGAGGAUCACCAGUGGCGAAGGCGGUCUGCCAGAACGCGUUCGACGGUGAGGGAUGAAAGCUGGGGGAGCAAACCGGAUUAGAUACCCGGGUAGUCCCAGCUGUAAACGAUGCAAACUCGGUGAUGCGUUGGCUUAUGGCCAACGCAGUGCCGCAGGGAAGCCGUUAAGUUUGCCGCCUGGGAAGUACGGCCGCAAGACUGAAACUUAAAGG
rnacentral:rRNA from 1 species